AUUGAACGCUGGCGGCAUGCUUUACACAUGCAAGUCGAACGGCAGCGGGGGCUUCGGCCCGCCGGCGAGUGGCGAACGGGUGAGUAAUGCAUCGGAACGUGCCCAGUCGUGGGGGAUAACACAUCGAAAGAUGUGCUAAUACCGCAUACGUCCUGAGGGAGAAAGCGGGGGAUCUUCGGACCUCGCGCGAUUGGAGCGGCCGAUGUCGGAUUAGCUAGUUGGUGGGGUAAAGGCCCACCAAGGCGACGAUCCGUAGCGGGUCUGAGAGGAUGAUCCGCCACACUGGGACUGAGACACGGCCCAGACUCCUACGGGAGGCAGCAGUGGGGAAUUUUGGACAAUGGGGGCAACCCUGAUCCAGCCAUGCCGCGUGAGUGAAGAAGGCC
rnacentral:rRNA from 1 species